AUGGCUCUGUGGCGGCGCAGCUCGUCCUGGCUCACGUCCUGCUCGCGCGCGCCGGCCGGCAUCGGCGGCGGGAACGAGGCCAAGGUCUCGCCCGAGGUCGCGCCGGAGGACGCCGCCGAGCAAAUCCACGAGGAGGCCGAGGACGAGGAGAGGUGGUCCCGCCUGCUGCCGGAGCUGCUCACGGACAUCGUGCGCCGCGUCGACGCCGGCGCCGAGCGCUGGCCCCCGCGCCGCGACGUCGUCGCCUGCGCCUGCGUCUGCCGCCGCUGGCGCGACGCCGCCGUCGCCGUCGUGCGCCCGCCGCUCGAGUGCGGCAGGAUCACCUUCCCCUCCUCGCUCAAGCAGCCUGGACCGAGGGAUGCGCCGAUGCACUGCUUCAUCAGGAGGAACAAAAGCACCUCCACCUUUUAUCUUUAUCUCAGCUUAACACAGGCCCUAACGGAUAAAGGGAAGUUUCUACUGGCUGCUCGAAGAUUCAGACACGGGGCACACACCGAAUAUAUCAUCUCUUAUGACUCUGAUGAUCUAUAUCCAGGAAGUAAUUCAGGUGUUGGAAAGCUGAGAUCGGACUUCCUGGGGACAAAAUUCGUCAUGUACGACAAUCAGAAACCAUACGACGGCGCCAAGUCCUUGAAGAGCCGAUCAAGUCGCCGCUUUGCGAGCAAACAAAUCAGCCCACACGUUUCAGGCGAUAAUCUUGAAGUUGGACAGGUGUCAUACAGGUUCAACUUCCUCAAAUCAAGAGGGCCGAGAAGAAUGCACUGCAGUAUCCAGUGCCCCGUAGGUCAGGGCACCGCAUCCGAUCCAUCCAAGGAGAAGCCACCGAGCACCUCCAGCUCCUUGUCUCUAAAAAACAAAGCGCCUCGGUGGCACGACCACCUGCAGUGCUGGUGCUUGAAUUUUCACGGCAGGGUGACGGUCGCCUCCGUGAAGAACUUCCAGCUUGUCGCCCCGGCCGGCACCAGCGACCCAUGGGGCGUCGGGGACGAGGAGACGGUGAUCCUCCAGUUCGGUAAGAUCGAGGACGACGCCUUCACGAUGGACUUCCGGCAUCCCCUGUCGGCCUACCAGGCGUUCGCCAUCUGCCUCACCAGCUUUGGCACGAAGCUGGCCUGUGAAUAA
rnacentral:rRNA from 1 species